ACUCCUACGGGAGGCAGCAGUGGGGAAUAUUGCACAAUGGGCGAAAGCCUGAUGCAGCGACGCCGCGUGAGGGAUGACGGCCUUCGGGUUGUAAACCUCGUUCAGCAGGGAACCAGCGAAAGUGACGGUACCUGCAGAAGAAGCACCGGCUAACUACGUGCCAGCAGCCGCGGUAAU
rnacentral:rRNA from 1 species